UNAAACAUGCAGUNNANGNUAGCAGGAAGGAAGCUUGCUUUCUUUGCUGACGAGUGGCGGACGGGUGAGUAAUGCUUGGGAAUCUGGCUUAUGGAGGGGGAUAACUGCGGGAAACUGCAGCUAAUACCGCGUAAAGUCUUUGGACUAAAGGGGGCGUUUGCUCUUGCCAUAAGAUGAGCCCAAGUGGGAUUAGGUAGUUGGUGGGGUAAUGGCUCACCAAGCCGUCGAUCUCUAGCUGGUCUGAGAGGAUGACCAGCCACACCGGGACUGAGACACGGCCCGGACUCCUACGGGAGGCAGCAGUGGGGAAUAUUGCGCAAUGGGGGGAACCCUGACGCAGCCAUGCCGCGUGAAUGAAGAAGGCCUUCGGGUUGUAAAGUUCUUUCGGUGAUGAGGAAGGCAGUUUGGUUAAUAGCCAAGCUGAUUGACGUUAGUCACAGAAGAAGCACCGGCUAACUCCGUGCCAGCAGCCGCGGUAAUACGGAGGGUGCGAGCGUUAAUCGGAAUAACUGGGCGUAAAGGGCACGCAGGCGGAUUUUUAAGUGAGGUGUGAAAGCCCCGGGCUUAACCUGGGAAUUGCAUUUCAGACUGGGAAUCUAGAGUACUUUAGGGAGGGGUAGAAUUCCACGUGUAGCGGUGAAAUGCGUAGAGAUGUGGAGGAAUACCGAAGGCGAAGGCAGCCCCUUGGGAAUGUACUGACGCUCAUGUGCGAAAGCGUGGGGAGCAAACAGGAUUAGAUACCCUGGUAGUCCACGCUGUAAACGCUGUCGAUUUGGGGGUUGGGGUUUAACUCUGACGCCCGUAGCUAACGUGAUAAAUCGACCGCCUGGGGAGUACGGCCGCAAGGUUAAAACUCAAAUGAAUUGACGGGGGCCCGCACAAGCGGUGGAGCAUGUGGUUUAAUUCGAUGCAACGCGAAGAACCUUACCUACUCUUGACAUCCAGAGAAUCCUGUAGAGAUACGGGAGUGCCUUCGGGAGCUUUGAGACAGGUGCUGCAUGGCUGUCGUCAGCUCGUGUUGUGAAAUGUUGGGUUAAGUCCCGCAACGAGCGCAACCCUUAUCCUUUGUUGCCAGCGAUACGGUCGGGAA
rnacentral:rRNA from 1 species